rnacentral:rRNA from 1 species
CUACGGGGUGCUGCAGUGGGGAAUAUUGCACAAUGGGCGCAAGCCUGAUGCAGCCAUGCCGCGUGUAUGAAGAAGGCCUUCGGGUUGUAAAGUACUUUCAGCGGGGAGGAAGGGAGUAAAGUUAAUACCCUUGCUCAUUGACGUUACCCGCAGAAGAAGCACCGGCUAACUCCGUGCCAGCAGCCGCGGUAAUACGGAGGGUGCAAGCGUUAAUCGGAAUAACUGGGCGUAAAGCGCACGCAGGCGGUUUGUUAAGUCAGAUGUGAAAUCCCCGGGCUCAACCUGGGAACUGCAUCUGAUACUGGCAAGCUUGAGUCUCGUAGAGGGGGGUAGAAUUCCAGGUGUAGCGGUGAAAUGCGUAGAGAUCUGGAGGAAUACCGGUGGCGAAGGCGGCCCCCUGGACGAAGACUGACGCUCAGGUGCGAAAGCGUGGGGAGCAAACAGGAUUAGAUACCCCAGUAGUC